rnacentral:rRNA from 1 species
UAAAUUUUUGUUUUUUAUUUUUUGGUAUUGCAUACCAUUCUGAGAAAAUAACAUUUUUAUGUUUAAUGGAAUAAAAAAGUAGAGGGUUUAUGGGGUUCCCUGUUCUAUAGUGAACUUUAUUUGACCUUGGUGUUGAUAUGUCGAUUUUUUUGUUAUCUGUUUGUUGGGUUUUUAUUAGAAAAUUAUGAAGUUUGUGUGUUUUUUUGGAUAUAAAGAUUUUGUAGUGUUCUUAUUUUAUGUUUUAUAACGUUUUCUUUUUUUUUGUUGUGUAUUUUUUUUGUUUUUAUUAAGUUUUUAAUAAAUUUAGAAUUUUGAAUUUAGUAGUUUUAGUUUAAUUAUGUUUGUUGUUUUAAUUUAUUUGUGUUAACUUGUUUUUUGGUCAAAUGUUUUUUAAAGACUUAGGCUUUUAUUUUAAGCUGGCCUCUGCUCUAUGUUUUUUUAAAUGGCAGUCUUAGCGUGAGGACAUUAAGGUAGCAAAAUAAUUUGUGCUUUUAAUGGGUUCUGGUAUGAAUGGGGUUAUUGGCUGAUUUUUUACUUUUUUUUUUAUGAAUUAAUUUUGUGUUUAAGAAAUAAUGGUUGGUAUUAUGCAAAGAUAAGUCUUCGAAAAUUUUUUUAUUGAGGUUUUUUUUAUUGUUUUGAUAUGUUAUCUAGGGUAGAUUGUUUUGUAAUUUUUUUUACUAUUUAUAAUUAAUAAAAUUACUUCGGAGUUAACAGAAAAUCAUAUUUUAUUUAGUUCUUAUAAUAGUGAUAAGUUUUACAUCGAUGUUGUAUUUUGGUUCUUGAAGGGAGGAGAGGAUUUCUGGUUUUAGACUGUUCUUCUGUUAAUAAACCAAACGUGAUAUUAGUUUAAUUCAUCGUGAGAUAGAAUUGUUUAUCUUGAUAAUAUUUUUGUUGUUGGUAGCUGAAAGUACGAAAGGAAAUUUGUUAAAGUUAUUAACUUUUGUAGAAGUGGAGACUUUU